CCUACGGGUGGCAGCAGUGGGGAAUAUUGCACAAUGGGCGCAAGCCUGAUGCAGCCAUGCCGCGUGUGUGAAGAAGGCCUUCGGGUUGUAAAGCACUUUCAGCGGGGAGGAAGGCGGUGAGGCUAAUAACCUCAUCGAUUGACGUUACCCGCAGAAGAAGCACCGGCUAACUCCGUGCCAGCAGCCGCGGUAAUACGGAGGGUGCAAGCGUUAAUCGGAAUUACUGGGCGUAAAGCGCACGCAGGCGGUCUGUCAAGUCGGAUGUGAAAUCCCCGGGCUCAACCUGGGAACUGCAUUCGAAACUGGCAGGCUAGAGUCUUGUAGAGGGGGGUAGAAUUCCAGGUGUAGCGGUGAAAUGCGUAGAGAUCUGGAGGAAUACCGGUGGCGAAGGCGGCCCCCUGGACAAAGACUGACGCUCAGGUGCGAAAGCGUGGGGAGCAAACAGGAUUAGAUACCCCUGUAGUC
rnacentral:rRNA from 1 species